rnacentral:rRNA from 1 species
GGCGAACGGGUGAGUAACACGUGGGCAAUCUGCCCUGCACUCUGGGACAAGCCCUGGAAACGGGGUCUAAUACCGGAUAUGACUGCCGACCGCAUGGUCUGGUGGUGGAAAGCUCCGGCGGUGCAGGAUGAGCCCGCGGCCUAUCAGCUUGUUGGUGGGGUGAUGGCCUACCAAGGCGACGACGGGUAGCCGGCCUGAGAGGGCGACCGGCCACACUGGGACUGAGACACGGCCCAGACUCCUACGGGAGGCAGCAGUGGGGAAUAUUGCACAAUGGGCGCAAGCCUGAUGCAGCGACGCCGCGUGAGGGAUGACGGCCUUCGGGUUGUAAACCUCUUUCAGCAGGGAAGAAGCGCAAGUGACGGUACCUGCAGAAGAAGCGCCGGCUAACUACGUGCCAGCAGCCGCGGUAAUACGUAGGGCGCAAGCGUUGUCCGGAAUUAUUGGGCGUAAAGAGCUCGUAGGCGGCUUGUCGCGUCGGAUGUGAAAGCCCGGGGCUUAACUCCGGGUCUGCAUUCGAUACGGGCAGGCUAGAGUUCGGUAGGGGAGAUCGGAAUUCCUGGUGUAGCGGUGAAAUGCGCAGAUAUCAGGAGGAACACCGGUGGCGAAGGCGGAUCUCUGGGCCGAUACUGACGCUGAGGAGCGAA